rnacentral:rRNA from 1 species
UACGUAGGGUGCGAGCGUUAAUCGGAAUUACUGGGCGUAAAGCGUGCGCAGGCGGUUCGUUGUGGUCGGCGGUGAAAGCCCCGGGCUCAACCUGGGAAUGGCCGUUGAAACUGGCGAACUGGAGUGUGGCAGAGGGGGGUGGAAUUCGCGUGUAGCAGUGAAAUGCGUAGAGAUGCGGAGGAACACCGAUGGCGAAGGCAGCCCCCUGGGUCGACACUGACGCUCAGGCACGAAAGCGUGGGGAGCAAACAGG